rnacentral:rRNA from 1 species
CGCGUAGGCGGUCCCGCACGUCGGAGGUGAAAUCCCCGGGCUCAACCCGGGAGCUGCCUCCGAUACGGCAGGGCUUGAGUCCGGGAGAGGGGAGCAGAAUUCCCAGUGUAGCGGUGAAAUGCGUAGAUAUUAGGAGGAAUACCGGUGGCGAAGGCGGCUCCCUGGACCGGUACUGACGCUGAGGCGCGAAAGCGUGGGUAGCAAACAGGAUUAGAUACCCUGGUAGUCCACGCCGUAAACGAUGGGUGCUUGGUGUCGGGGGUAUCGACCCCUCCGGUGCCGAAGCUAACGCAUUAAGCACCCCGCCUGGGGAGUACGGUCGCAAGGCUGAA